rnacentral:lncRNA from 1 species
UGGUUGCACUUGCAUUAAAACUUGUUGCAUAAAAUGAUUAUUCUCUAAAGAAGCAAAGGUUGGUACAAGUAAUACUAAAAUAGAGCUGCAUCAAUUAUAUCUUAAGAAUAACUACAUAGGGAAGAAAACAAAGCAUCCUCAUCAUGUUGUUAACUACUACGUAGGGCUUAUCCCUUUUUACUUGAAUAGAACAUAGUGUUUUUAUGUGGUCCAAGCUAAGAAAUUUACAAUAUGGACAAACUAGAAAUUUACAAUAUGUGAUAGACUAUAUAUUCAUGGAAGUGG